rnacentral:ncRNA from 1 species
GGUAGUAGCAAAUAUUUAAGUUCGAUCCUUGAAGACUGAAGUGGAGAAGGGUUCUACGUGAACAGUAGUUGAAUGUGGGUGAGUCAAUCCCAAGAUAAUGGCUUAUGCCUUGUAUCAUUUGGAGAGAAAAGGUUCCAUCAUCUCUUUCAGAUGUCAAAAGUGAAUAUGGUUAAUAUUCCCUAGCGUAGACACAGAGAUUAUGAUUCGUAUGAAUCAUUUGCGUGUUAACGUAUAUAAACUAGGUAAACGUCGCUCAAAACCCGUGUUAGAGUUUUCUCCACUAGUUAAGGAACGGACUCCCUGGAAUCGGUUCAGCCAUAUAUAGGAUCGUUGUAUCCGUAAAGUAUCGUGGUUUCUGUGAUAUCUCGUGUUUUUGGACGAUCUAUGAAAAGUGAGGUUAUUAAUCUGUGCUACGUCGUACUAAUAUCCUCAUCAGUUCUCCAGGGUGAAUCGCCUCUACUC